rnacentral:rRNA from 1 species
UAGGGAAUCUUCGGCAAUGGACGAAAGUCUGACCGAGCAACGCCGCGUGAGUGAAGAAGGUUUUCGGAUCGUAAAACUCUGUUGUUAGAGAAGAACGUUGCAUAGAGUGGAAAAUUAUGCAAGUGACGGUAUCUAACCAGAAAGGGACGGCUAACUACGUGCCAGCAGCCGCGGUAAUACGUAGGUCCCGAGCGUUGUCCGGAUUUAUUGGGCGUAAAGCGAGCGCAGGUGGUUUAAUAAGUCUGAUGUAAAAGGCAGUGGCUCAACCAUUGUGUGCAUUGGAAACUGUUAGACUUGAGUGCAGUAGAGGAGAGUGGAAUUCCAUGUGUAGCGGUGAAAUGCGUAGAUAUAUGGAGGAACACCGGUGGCGAAAGCGGCUCUCUGGACUGUCACUGACACUGAGGCUCGAAAGCGUGGGUAGCAAACAGGAUUAGAUACCCUGGUAGUCCACGCCGUAAACGAUGAGUGCUAGUUGUU